rnacentral:rRNA from 1 species
UACGUAGGUGACGAGCGUUAUCCGGAUUUACUGGGCGUAAAGCGCUUGUAGGUGGUUGCGUAAGUUGGACGUUAAAUCUCUGGGCUCAACUCAGAGAGGCCGUUCAAUACUGCGUGACUAGAGGAUGUCAGAGGAAGGUGGAAUUCCAGGUGUAGUAGUGAAAUGCGUAGAUAUCUGGAGGAACACCCAUGGCGAAGGCAGCCUUCUGGGGCAUUCCUGACACUGAGAAGCGAAAGCUAGGGGAGCAAACAGG